ACGGGGGGAGCAAGCGUUGUUCGGAUUUACUGGGCGUAAAGGGCGGGUAGGCGGCCACCGCAAGUCGAGUGUGAAAGCCCCCGGCUCAACUGGGGAGGGUCAUUCGAUACUGAUCGACUCGAAGGCAGGAGAGGGUAGUGGAAUUCCCGGUGUAGUGGUGAAAUGCGUAGAUAUCGGGAGGAACACCAGUGGCGAAGGCGACUACCUGGCCUGUUCUUGACGCUGAGGCGCGAAAGCUAGGGGAGCAAACGGGA
rnacentral:rRNA from 1 species